rnacentral:lncRNA from 1 species
UCAUUGUAUGUGCAAGGUAGUGUUCUGCCAAUAAUAUGCUCCCGGAUCUUUUGUUGAAAUAACUUAUUGUAUGUGCAAGGUAGUGUUCUACCAAUAAUAUGCUCCCGGAUCAUUUAUUGAAAUAGCUUAUUGUAAGUGUAAGGCAGUGUUCUGCCAAUAAUAUGCUCCCCAAUUCUUUGUUGAAAUAGCUCUAGGUGUAAGGCAGUGUCCAUCUUAUCUUCAUAAUUUUGAUCACUGCUAAUGCUUUAUCAACUUCUCCCCACAAGCAAUGGAUCCAUCCAUAAGUUGUAUCGUAGGUGAUUACAUUGGGAAGCUAUCUGAAUCUUCCGCAUCUUUUAUUUUUCCUUCUUUGCCAUAUGCAUCAAUCAAUAUGCUAAAGGCAUAUUAAUGAGCUGUAGGUUAUAACGUGCGGAAGGACAGCUUUAAUAAUCAUUUGAUGGAGAAGAACUCGUGUUUAAUCGAUUAUUCUAAUCGAGUUAUAAGUUACCGUGUCAGGUUCACGGCCUCUCUUCUCCAUAUACCUGAACGGCAUGACAGCCAUAGAAGUGUGACCUCUCUUGCAAAAGGAAUUAAUAAAAUUGGUAUAGUAUAUUCGCAGGAGGAACAGCCAUAUCUCGAAACACAGAAACGGCAGUCGAAUAUUUUUUGGUUUUAGUUGAAAUUGAAAACAGGAAGAGAGAUUUCAUAUGGAGCAUUAUAUCAAACACCUAGAGUGCACUGGGCACGAGUUGGCUUUGAGAGGCAAGGGGAAUUGGGUUUAAUGGAAUUAGGGUUAGGGUUUGAGGAGGAUUGAUACUUUGUGAAAGAGGAGAAAAUCAAGUAAAAGCUCUGCUCUGCUACUUGUGAGCCGCCUCCGUUUUAUAAUCACAGAACACCCUCACGUACUCACAGGCACGAGUUCAAACCCUAGCAACGAGAGAUGUGAAAAUGGCACGGGCCCAAAAAGUCCGGGCUUGGGCUUUGAUCGGGAUAUGGGCCGGACCGCGCGGAGGGUUUCGAUGAAAUAUUUGGACAUGUUUAUUAUGAGAACAGCUACACCCAUUUUUAUCCGAUUUUUUGAAAAACGCGAAUCACAUUGACAUUUAAAGAUAUAAACAAUAAAUGAAAUUAAUUGAAUAAUUAAAGACUUAAUCUAUUUCGCGAGAUGUUUUAUCCGUAUUGAAAUUGGGGUUGGUCAAAUUCUGUGUAAGGCUCGUCACACAAUUAUUUUUUUUUUCUUUUUUUUGACAAUGUCACACAAUUAUCUUAAGUAGUUACGAAUGUGUUAAAUUAUUUUUUUUUCUAAGAAUAAAUAUAUAGUUUACAAAAGAAACAUAUUAAAUAUAGGGUUAAUUAUUUAAUUGGUCACUGAAGUGGGCAUAAUGUAUCAAGUUGGUCACUGAACUCAAAACGGUA